UACAGGUAAAUUAUGUUGGAUUGACUUGAGGUAAUAAAUCUCAGCUUCAUCCUGCCUCUACUGCAACGACUGCUGCUGCCAGGUGUGUGUCGAGUGACCAGAGAGCGACUGUAAGAUUAUGGAUUUCUGACACCCACUGCUCACGAGGAAAGUGUUGAAGUCUUUGUUUUGAGCUGAGGUGAUAACGACUGAAGUUAUCGGUCUGACGGCUUGGCAAGGUCUUGGCGUGACGGCUUGGCAAGGUCUUGACGUGACGGCUUGGCAAGGUCUUGACGUGACGGCUUGGCAAGGUCUUGACGUGACGGCUUGGCAAGGUCUUGACGUGACGGCUUGGCAAGGUCUUGACGUGACGGCUGGGCAAGGUCUUGACGUGACGGCUGGGCAAGGUCUUGACGUGACGGCUGGGCAAGGUCUUGACGUGACGGCUGGGCAAGGUCUUGACGUGACGGCUGGGCAAGGUCUUGACGUGACGGCUGGGCAAGGUCUUGACGUGACGGCUGGGCAAGGUCUUGACGUGACGGCUUGCCAAGAUCUUUGGUGCUCCAAGCUCCUAUGCCAGUGAGCUUAACUCAACAUCACCAGAAAAAAAUAAACUAAACUAAACUGAAAAAUUGUUGCAAAGACCCACGAUUAAUAAUCUAUCAGUAAACCAUUGUGCACGAUCUUAGCUGAGUUAAUUCAUCUUAAAUUGGUUUCAUUGUUGUAAAUUAACGUUGAUAAAAUCUGCUCCCAACGGUGAUUGUUCCACCAUCAAUACUUUUGGACUUGACAAAAGACGAAGAACAGUGUUGUUUUGUGCUUGGAUUUUCAUGAAAGUUUAUAUUUAAAUACCGAGAUUAAUUAGUUUUAAACCAUAAAGACAGCGAACAUAAUAGUGCCCAUAGUGAGAUACUGAACGAGCUAUAAGACACAAAAGGGAAACAAAAAUAAGUGAAAUAGUUC